AGAGUUAGAACAAAUAAUUAAAAAAAAAAAGAUACCGAGGGAGAGAGAGAGAGAAUGAAUCUCCGUAGUCCAUAGAAGUGAGAGAGAAGCAGUGAAGGAGAAGAAAAGCAAUAGCGCUGAUAGUGUUGUUGUUGUUGCUUAGCGGUUUCUGCUCCGCUACUCUUCAAACCUCGCUUUUUUGUUUCUUUCUUCCUUCUUCGUUUUCUCCCAACAACCUCCACUCUCUCUCUCUCUCUCUCUCUUGCUGUUAAACCCACCUUCCUUCAUUCUCUCUCUCUCUCUCUCCUCUUUUGCUGUUUGCUGCUGCAUCGUUUUCUUUCGUUCUAUUCCUAACUGAUCACUCAUACACUUGUUUCCGCACUAUCCUUUUUCUUUGCUUUUGGCCUUUCGGAUUCCGAUGGAAACAUCAGAGAAUUGCUCUGUCAAAGUCGCUCUUCACAUUCGUCCUCUCAUUGCCGAUGAACGACAACAAGGUUGCAUUGAAUGCGUUUCCCUUACUCCUGGAAAGCCCCAGGUUCAAAUUGGGUCACAUUCCUUUACAUUUGAUCACGUUUAUGGAAAUGGUGGAUCUCCUUCAGCUACCAUGUUUGAGGAAUGCAUUGCUCCAUUGGUUGAUGGCUUAUUCCAAGGAUACAACGCCACAGUACUUGCUUAUGGUCAGACAGGAUCUGGGAAAACGUAUACCAUGGGAACUGGCUAUAGUGACAAUUGUCGGAUUGGGUUAAUUCCACAAGUUAUGAAUACCUUGUUCAACAAGAUUGAAACACUAAAGCAUCAAACAGAAUUUCAGUUGCAUGUCUCCUUCAUUGAGAUUUUGAAGGAAGAGGUGAGGGACUUGUUGGAUGUGGUAUCUAUUAGCAAAUCAGAAACCUCUAACUCUAAUGGCCAUACUGGAAAAGUAACUGUUCCUGGAAAGCCACCAAUUCAAAUUCGUGAAACAUCAAAUGGAGUGAUAACACUGGCAGGAACAACUGAAGUUGCUGUAAGUACAUUACAGGAGAUGGCUGCUUACUUGGAGCAGGGUUCUUUGAGUAGGGCAACAGGAAGCACAAAUAUGAACAACCAGUCCAGUCGGUCACAUGCCAUUUUCACCAUUACAUUAGAGCAGAUGCGCAAACUCCAUUCUGUUUCUCUUGCCAAUGACACCUCAGAUGAGGAUAUGGGUGAAGAAUACCUUUCAGCAAAGCUUCACUUGGUAGAUCUAGCUGGAUCUGAACGAGCUAAAAGAACAGGUUCUGAUGGUCUUCGUUUGAAAGAAGGCAUACAUAUCAAUAAAGGUCUUCUUGCUCUUGGAAAUGUCAUAAGUGCACUGGGGGAUGAGAAAAAGCGAAAGGAGGGCAUGCACGUUCCUUAUCGGGAUAGCAAACUCACUCGACUCUUACAGGAUUCACUUGGUGGAAAUAGCAAAACUGUCAUGAUAGCUUGCAUUAGUCCUGCUGACAUCAAUGCUGAGGAAUCACUCAAUACUCUCAAGUAUGCAAAUCGUGCUCGCAAUAUUCAAAAUAAGCCUGUUGUUAAUCGAGAUUUAAUAUCCAAUGAGAUGCAGCAAUUGCGCCAGCAGUUAAAGUACUUGCAGGCUGAACUCUGCUCUCGGGGAGGAGCUCCCGCCGAUGAAGUGCGGGUUCUUAAGGAAAGGAUUGCUUGGCUUGAGGCAACUAAUGAGGACCUCUGUAGAGAACUUCAUGAAUAUCGCAGUAGAUGUGCUUUUGUAGAGAGAUGUGAAAUUGAUGAACCAGAUGGACACAUUUAUCUCAUGAAAACUGAUGGGCUUGAGAGGUGCUUCCAGAGCUCAGAUUCAUCUGACCAUCCUAUGGCUGGAAGUAUAUCAGGUGAGGAUUCAAGGGAAACUGAUGAAGCGGCAAAAGAGUUGGAGCAUGUAAUAUUACAAAAUACCAUGGAUAAAGAGAUGAAUGAGUUGAAUAAGCGCUUGGAGCAAAAAGAGUCUGAGAUGAAGCUUAUUGGAGUUGAUACUGAAACACUCAAACAACACUUCGGGAAAAGAAUUAUGGAACUAGAGGAAGAGAAAAGAAAAGUGCAGCAAGAGAGGGACCGUUUAUUGCAUGAGGUAGAGAAUCUUGCAGCUAACUCAGAUGGGCUAGGACAUAAAACUCAAGAUGUUCGUGGCCAAAAGUUGAAAGCAUUGGAAGCACAGAUUUUAGAUCUCAAGAAGAAACAAGAAAACCAGAUGCAGCUAUUAAAGCAAAAGGAGAAGAGUGAAGAAGCUGCCAAAAAACUGCAGGCUGAGAUACAAUAUAUCAAGGCUCAGAAGGUUCAGUUGCAGCAUAAAAUGAAGCAAGAGGCAGAACAAUUUCGACAAUGGAAGGCUUCUCGUGAGAAGGAGCUACUCCAGUUGAAAAAGGAGGGAAGAAGGAAUGAGUAUGAAAGACAUAAACUUGAGGCUCUAAACCAGCGUCAAAAAAUGGUUCUUCAGAGGAAGACAGAGGAAGCAACAAUGGCUACAAAAAGGCUAAAAGAAUUGUUGGAAGCCCGCAAGUCUUCUCCCCGCGACAACUCUGUUUAUUCAAAUGGACAUCUACAGCCUGGGCUGGUCAAUGAAAAAUCCCUCCAAAGGUGGCUUGAUCAGGAGCUGGAGGUGAUGUUACAUGUUCACGAAGUUCGCGCUGAACAUGACAAACAAAAUCAAGUACAAGCUGCAUUGGAAGAAGAGUUGGCUUUUCUAAAACAGGAUCAAUUUUCUGAUGGGCAGAGUAUUCUUGCAGGAAAGAGCAGAUAUUUGAGGCUGUUAUCCAUGUCACCCGAUGCAAAAGUUGAGAGAAUAGCUUCUCUUGAAAACAUGCUGAGCAUGUCUUCAGUUGCUUUGAAGGCCAUGGCUUCACAACUUACUGAGGCAGAAGAAAGAGAACGAAUGUUAAAUAACCGUGGACGAUGGAACCAGCUCCGCUCAAUGGGAGAUGCAAAGCAUGUGCUUCAGUAUUUGUUCAAUGCUACUGCAGAAGCAAGGUGCCAAUUGUGGGAAAAGAACAUGGAACUCGAGGACUUGAAAGAGCAACUAAAUGAGCUUGUAGCACUACUGCAACAAAGUGAAGCACAGAGAAAAGAACUUGUGAAGGAGCAAAAAAUAAGGGAACAAGCUGUUGCCAUCACAUUGGAUACAUCGGCAUUGGAAAACUCACGGUCCUUGAAACACCUUGCGGACGAAAUGAGUGGUCCUUUGUCUCCAAUGUCACUUCCUGCACCGAAGCAACUCAAAUUUACUCCUGGAGUUGUUAACUGGUCAAUCAAGGAGUCGGCUACGUUUUUAGAUGAAGCACGAAAGAUGAUACCCAUUGGAGACUUGUCAACAAAGAGGCUAGCAGCUAUUGGGCAAGCCGGAAAACUUUGGAAGUGGAAGAGAAGUCAUCAUCAAUGGCUUCUACAGUUUAAAUGGAAGUGGCAGAAGCCCUGGAAACUCUCAGAAUGGAUUAAACACAGUGAUGAGACAAUUAUGAGAUCAAGGCCCAGAGCCCAAGCUUUGAUUAAUGCGAUGUGAUGUGAUAUUGAGCUCGUAGUAAGGGACAUUUAUGAUUCUGAAUAUUCACCGUGGUGUGUUUCAAUACGACUUGACUAGUGGAAAGGUAAUUGCAGGCAUGAUGUAAAUUGGAAGAGUUUUCUGGGAUUUGUCGGAUCUUUUUGUGGAGGUACAGUUCGGUUAUUGGAGAAGGUUGUCAUGAUUCUGUGUAGCCUGUAACAACACAUGGUAAUUGGUAGGUGUAGCUGACACGGACAGUAUCAGAGGAAGGAAUUAGUUUUAUAAUACAUAUAUUGAUAGGGAACUUCAAACUACUGCAUAGAUUAGAAUAUGUAGUUUGUGAAGUUGUUUCAUGUUAAUUCUGUAAUUUUGUUUUAAAUUUUUUUUUUUUUUUUUUUUUUGUGGAUUGUGAUCAGUUCAGCGUCAACUUUGUUACGUGCUUGGUCUCUCCCUGUUUUGUAAUCAACAAAAGCAACAGAGACUGGGACGUGGGGAAAGAGGACAAGCUGGAAAUCUUAAUUCGUCACAUGAACGACACAAUGUAUAUAAUCAAGAGCAAUAUUAUCAAUAUACUUUUUGAC